CCUACGGGGGGCAGUAGUGAGGAAUAUUGGUCAAUGGGCUUACGCCUGAACCAGCCAAGUCGCGUGAGGGAAGACUGCCCUAUGGGUUGUAAACCUCUUUUGUCAGGGAGCAACGCCGGCUACGUGUAGCCGGACUGAGAGUACCUGAAGAAAAAGCAUCGGCUAACUCCGUGCCAGCAGCCGCGGUAAUACGUAGGGUGCAAGCGUUAUCCGGAUUUAUUGGGCGUAAAGGGCUCGUAGGCGGUUCGUCGCGUCCGGUGUGAAAGUCCAUCGCUUAACGGUGGAUCCGCGCCGGGUACGGGCGGGCUUGAGUGCGGUAGGGGAGACUGGAAUUCCCGGUGUAACGGUGGAAUGUGUAGAUAUCGGGAAGAACACCAAUGGCGAAGGCAGGUCUCUGGGCCGUUACUGACGCUGAGGAGCGAAAGCGUGGGGAGCGAACAGGAUUAGAUACCCGUGUAGUC
rnacentral:rRNA from 1 species